rnacentral:tRNA from 1 species
UUCCUGGUCAUCUAGUGGUUAGGAUUCAGCACUUUCACUGCCAUGGCCCAGGUUCAAUCCCUGGCUGGGGAA